rnacentral:rRNA from 1 species
UAGUCCACACAGUAAACGGUGAUCACUAGGUGUUGCGGGUAUUGACCCCUGCAGUGCCGCAGCUAACGCAUUAAGUGAUCCGCCUGGGGAGUACGGUCGCAAGAUUAAAACUCAAAGGAAUUGACGGGGGCCCGCACAAGCGGUGGAGCAUGUGGUUUAAUUCGACGCAACGCGAAGAACCUUACCUGGACUUGACAUCUGGAGAAUCUGUUAGAGAUAGUAGAGUGCCUUCGGGAGCUCUGAGACAGGUGCUGCAUGGCUGUCGUCAGCUCGUGUUGUGAAAUGUUGGGUUAAGUCCCGCAACGAGCGCAACCCUUAUCCUUAGUUGCCAGCACGUAAUGGUGGGAACUCUAGGGAGACUGACCGGUGAUAAACCGGAGGAAGGUGGGGACGACGGUCAAGUCAUCAUGGCCCUUAUGGGCAGGGGCUACACACGUGCUACAAUGGCGAAUACAGAGGGUUGCCAACCAGCAAUGGUGCGCUAAUCCCUUAAAGCUCG